rnacentral:rRNA from 1 species
GAUGAACGCUGGCGGCGUGCUUAACACAUGCAAGUCGAACGGGAAACCUUUUAUUGAAGCUUCGGCAGAUUUAGCUGGUUUCUAGUGGCGGACGGGUGAGUAACGCGUGGGUAACCUGCCCUAUACAGGGGGAUAACAACCAGAAAUGGUUGCUAAUACCGCAUAAGCGCACAGGGCCGCAUGGUCCGGUGUGAAAAACUCCGGUGGUAUAGGAUGGACCCGCGUUGGAUUAGCCAGUUGGCAGGGUAACGGCCUACCAAAGCGACGAUCCAUAGCCGGCCUGAGAGGGUGAACGGCCACAUUGGGACUGAGACACGGCCCAGACUCCUACGGGAGGCAGCAGUGGGGGAUAUUGCAAAAUGGGGGAAACCCUGAUGCAGCGACGCCGCGUGAAGGAAGAAGUAUCUCGGUAUGUAAACUUCUAUCAGCAGGGAAGAUAGUGACGGUACCUGAAUAAGAAGCCCCGGCUAACUACGUG